rnacentral:rRNA from 1 species
AUUGAACGCUGGCGGCAUGCCUUACACAUGCAAGUCGAACGGCAGCACGGGUGCUUGCACCUGGUGGCGAGUGGCGAACGGGUGAGUAAUACAUCGGAACAUGUCCUGUAGUGGGGGAUAGCCCGGCGAAAGCCGGAUUAAUACCGCAUGCGAUCCACGGAUGAAAGCGGGGGACCUUCGGGCCUCGCGCUAUAGGGUUGGCCGAUGGCUGAUUAGCUAGUUGGUGGGGUAUAGGCCUACCAAGGCGACGAUCAGUAGCUGGUCUGAGAGGACGACCAGCCACACUGGGACUGAGACACGGCCCAGACUCCUACGGGAGGCAGCAGUGGGGAAUUUUGGACAAUGGGCGAAAGCCUGAUCCAGCAAUGCCGCGUGUGUGAAGAAGGCCUUCGGGUUGUAAAGCACUUUUGUCCGGAAAGAAAUCCUUGACUCUAAUACAGUCGGGGGAUGACGGUACCGGAAGAAUAAGCACCGGCUAACUACGUG